CUCCCUGUUGCUUCCGCCUCCGGGGAGGGGGUGCGGGCCGCGCAGCCGGGGCCUGGACGGCGGGCCCUGGGCGUCCAGCCCUGGGUCUGGCCUGAAACGUGUAUCUCCCCGCGAAGGCCCGAGGGCAGGGGCGAGAUCUUGGGGAGUCGGGGAGGGGACGGGAUCAGGUUGGGCCGGAGACCGGCUAAACCCGGCCUGUGUCUCCCUCGUGCUCCACGGCCCCACGCGCGGCCCGCCUGCUUGGCAGGUGAGGUGGCGCCGAGGCGGGCCCCGCGGGGCUGCCCAGAGUCGCGCAGCUCCUCUGCGCCGGGGCGAAGCAUCUGUUCUCGCUGCCACGGGCCACCGCUUGUGAAACCAGAGGGGCCUGACAGGGCCACUGGAGGAACGCCACUGAGUGUCCCCCUGGCUGGCUGUGAAGAGAAGCUUCCACGUGGACCCUUUGGGGAUUAGAUACAGAAGCCUGGGAUUGGGUGGGAGUGAAUGGUGGUCAUGGCUAAACUAUCUGGAUUCUGAACUGCUUUUCUUCAGUAAAAUGCUCGUUUUUGGUCACCUAACUCAUCGAUUCUCCACUUUCCAACCGAAUCUACUCUCUCCUGCGUGGCAUCCAGGAGGCCAAUGGCCAGCGUCAGUGGAUCUUCACCAACGGGGUGCCCGUUGCGAGCUGAGACCAAGCAGAGAGGCUGGGGCCUUUCUUCCCUCAUCUGCACCCUGGCCUGGCAGUGUCUGUGUCCUUCAGUGACCACAGUGCUUGCCCAGCUUUCUUUUCUGUUGGAUCAAUUCGUGUCAGGCGCCGAAUGAGUGGGUGACAGUUGUCACCCCAUGCUUCCUACAGCCAGGCAGCGGGGUCAGCUGGGCCCUGGGGAGCAGCACCUCUGGUAGGUCGUGGAGCCACGUUCACACUGCAGCAGGUGGUCCUGUCGCCAUGCGGUCUUCCACAUCUCCUCCCAGGAACGCCUUCUGCUUUCUGCCGGGACCCUGGCUGCUCGAGACAGAUAUUGACUGACCUAGCACCUUGCGAACGGUGACAUUUGCAGGGGGCGGGUGGAAGGACACAGGCAGAGGCCACACAAGGCCACAGGAUAAAGGCUGUGUGCCUUUCAGGGACGCCUGUUUUGUUCAGUGGUCAAUGCUAAUUUCAUCUUGUAGUAAACACUGUGGUGGCCACAGCCAUGCCCUCCAUCCUUGCUGGCAGAAGCCCACCUUGGUGCAGGUAGCCACCCUCUGCGUGGCUAGGGGUAAACUGGUCCAUGUGAGCUAAUCUCGGUAACUCCACACCUCUUUUUGUGACUGGUUUUGAAACAAGUUUUAAACCAGUGAAUCCUGCUGUUGGGAAAGGUCUCCUCACUUGUAAAAAGCACAUAAAGAGGACAUGCUCCUCAUUUCCUGCCGGAUGUUGUGUGUCUGGAUGUGAUGGCUGGCGUUUCGCAGCCUUCUUGCGUCCGUGAUGUGACAGGAACAGCAUCACAGUGGGGAUGGCAGCGUGGAGAGAUGGGAAGAGCAUGGGUCCUUGGUGACACCACUGGGCCACUACCCUAACUUGGAUUUCAUGUUUUGAGAGAUAAUAAAUAUCCUUAUUGAGUUGGAUUUUCUGUUGCUAGCGGCUCACAGCAUCCUAAUUCUAAACCUAUGGAAACAUGGGAUUGAUGUAUAUACACUAAUAUGUAUCGAAUAGAUAACUAAUAAGAACCUGCUGUAUAAAAAUAAUAAUAAUAAAAAAAUAAACCUAUGGAGCCAAA